UACUCGAGUGGCGAACGGGUGAGUAACACGUGGGUGAUCUGCCCUGCACUUCGGGAUAAGCCUGGGAAACUGGGUCUAAUACCGGAUAGGAGCCAUUUUUAGUGUGAUGGUUGGAAAGUUUUUUCGGUGUAGGAUGAGCUCGCGGCCUAUCAGCUUGUUGGUGGGGGUAAUGGCCUACCAAGGCGGCGACGGGUAGCCGGCCUGAGAGGGUGGGCGGCCACAUUGGGACUGAGAUACGGCCCAG
rnacentral:rRNA from 1 species